CCACCGAAGUCAAGCAUCAUUGGGCGCGGUCAGUACUUGGGUGGGUGACCACCUGGGAACACUGCGUGCCGUU